ensembl:lincRNA
AUAAAACAUAUUAUUGUUUUAUAUGACCAUUCUUCAUUUUUCACUUGCCUUUCUCUCCAUUCCUAGGAUUACCAUCCUUCUGCCUAAAGUACCUGCUUUACAAUUGCUUUUUAUGAGACAAGCAAAAGAUGAUCAAGAGGAGCAUGAAAAAAUCCCCUGAAUCCAUUGGCUUUCUUCCCUAUACUGACAACAGUUUACUUGUGUAAGAAGAUGGAUGUCUAUUGCUUUUCUCUUGAUAUUCAUGGCACUGCUCCUCUCCAUCCAUAGGAUUAUCUUAUGUAAGUAAUAGUUCUUUCAAAUUUUGGGUGGAUUUUAAAAUGACUUGCUCCAACAGGGUUCACUCUUCUAACUAACACAACCUCUGAGUAGGUUUAAAUUCAAUUAGUUUGGCUAGUGCCAAAAUGUGAUCAGCUAUUAAUGAGUGGUCUGAAGAUUUUUUUUUUUUAAACUGAAAGGGUGAUUCUGUCAUUCACUUCCUGAAAAUUAGAAAAGCUCUUCUGAUUUCAUUUGCAUGUUGAGAUUUUCUAUUAUGACUUGUAUUCAAUUUAGCACACUCAAAUAUGAAGCAAAUCUAUUCAUUUAAUCUGCUGCCUGAGCCAAUAUCUCUGCAGCAAGAGAUAUCC